rnacentral:lncRNA from 1 species
CUCCAAAACCUCAAAAUAUGAAAUAUUGAACCUUAAGUUUUAUCUUUUAUUCAGCCUUUGUUGAACUCUAAAAAUUACUUUAGAAGCAAGUCCAUUAGAAAAACAUUUUCAUAGUGCGUUUGGGGCAGUGGGUGGGAUCUUCAUCCUUUAUCCUGUUCAGUGACAGUCUCAGUGUUUAUUGUAGUCAUAUCCUGUUUUACUGUUUCUUUUCCUAAAAUAUAACCUAUUUAUCAAUGCCAGCCAGACGUUCUGUUUAGACUGAGCACUUAAAGCAUGAAGGUAGCUUUUAAUCUGGAAAAAAAAAAAAAGGUUUUGCCAUAUGGGUAUCAUUGUUACAGCAGCCCACUUCACUGUAAACAUUCCUCACUUGUUACUGGUGUAAUACACCUAAAUAUACUUGUGAUUCAGUACAUUAUGAAUUAAAAUUUGAUUCAGGCAAAUUACAUUCUGUUGCAUUUGAUUUAUUUGGACUUAAAUUGGACUUACAUAUAUGUGUGUGUGUGUGUGUGUGUGUGUGUGUGUGUGUGUGUGUGUGUACGUACGUAUUUCAAUCCACCCUGCCAACCAUGUUCAACUCAAGAAAUAUUUCUUAGAUUCAUGCACAUGGACUAUUUCAUAGCUAUUUUCUGAUCACCACAAUAUCACGUGUAAAUUUAAAGCUGUCUUUAAUCUAUUUUUCCUACUUAUUUUAUUAGCUGACAAAGUUAGCUAGUUUUUAACUACUAUUUUUAAUGUAUUUUUUUCUUUCUAGUUUGUACACUUCCUCUACUUACAUUUAAAUGUUUGAAAUUACUUAAAUUUUUAAUUCAAAAUCAUUUCAUCUGUCACUCCAAAACCCUCAAAAUAUGAAAUAUUGAACCUUAAGUUUUAUCUUUUAUUCAGCCUUUGUUGAACUCAAAAAUUACUUUAGAAGCAAGCCAUUAGAAAAACAUUUUCAUAGUGCGUUUGGGGCAGUGGGUGGGAUCUUCAUCCUUUAUCCUGUUCAGUGACAGUCUCAGUGUUUAUUGUAGUCAUAUCCUGUUUUACUGUUUCUUUUCCUAAAAUAUAACCUAUUUAUCAAUGCCAGCCAGACGUUCUGUUUAGACUGAGUACUUAAAGCAUGAAGGUAGUCUUUUAAUCUGGAAAAAAAAAAAAGGUUUUUGCCAUAUGGGUAUCAUUGUUACAGCAGCCCACUUCACUGUAAACAUUCCUCACUUGUUACUGGUGUAAUACACCUAAAUAUACUUGUGAUUCAGUACAUUAUGAAUUAAAAUUUGAUUCAGGCAAAUUACAUUCUGUAGCAUUUGAUUUAUUUGGACUUAAAUUGGAAUAUAUGUGUGUGUGUGUGUGUGUGUGUGUGUGUGUGUGUGUGUGUGUGUACGUACGUGUACCGGUUCUGAUAACCAUUUGCAUUCACUCUGCCAUGUAGCUGUAUCCCCCAAACCAUGACACUUCCUCCUUCACCUUUCACUGACUUCUUUACACACUCAGGCUUCAGUCUUUCCCCAGUUUGAUGCCAAACAAAAUGUUACCCAUCAGACCAAAAUAAAUUAAACUUGCUCUCAUCACUAAAUUGAACUUUGGACCAG